AGAGAGCACAUUGGUACUGCCAGGGAUGCUCCCUAGUCAAGGGAAAGAGUGGAUCACAAAUCUAAGCUGAAUUCACUUAGUAUCUACUCACCUGUGGUAUGGCAGUGACAGGCCGUUCAAACUCUGCAUGCCUCAUUCUUUGCUUCUGAAGGCCAAGGGGGAUAAUAACAGUUUCCUCACAGCGCUGCUCUGAGAACUGACUAAUCAGAACACCGGAGGGUUUUGAGAAAUUCUUGACACCGAUCUUUUUGCAGAAACAAAACCAACA